AUUGAACGCUGGCGGCAGGCCUAACACAUGCAAGUCGAACGCGUGGCGGACGGGUGGGUUAUGUCUGGGAAACUUCCUGAUGGAGGGGGAUAACUCCUGGAAACGGUCGCUAAUACCGCCUACCCUCGGAUGUGCCCAUAUGGGAUUAGCUAGUAGGUGGGGUAAAGGCUCACCUAGGCGACGAUCCCUAGCUGGUCUGAGAGGAUGACCAGCCACACUGGAACUGAGACACGGUCCAGACUCCUACGGGAGGCAGCAGUGGGGAAUAUUGCACAAUGGGCGCAAGCCUGAUGCAGCCAUGCCGCGUGUAUGAAGAAGGCCUUCGGGUUGUAAAGUACUUUCGGCGGGGAGGCGGUACCCGAAGAAGAAGCACCGGCUAACUCCGUGCCAGCAGCCGCGGUAAUUC
rnacentral:rRNA from 1 species